ACGAACCAUUUCUCUCUCAAAAUCAUAUCAUCAUCUCUAUCAAAUGAUUCUUUUCUCAUUAAUAUUCAUCUCUCAAUUUUCCCUUCGUCACUCAAUUAUACUUUCUCUCUCAAAGUUUUCCUUUUUGGUUGAUUUUGUUUUGGCACGAAAAGGUGUAACAAGGAAGCAAAAGAAGCUCCGAGGGCGAGGACCAUUGUAUGGUUUUCUUGAGUUUUAUUGGAGUAAUGCAAAAGAUGACAUGGUAGGAUAAUACAUGUAGGGCACGACGACAGAACACCAAGUCAUGAUAUGGUUUGUGAUCAGCAACAUGAUCAAUCGCUUGAUUCAAACGGAGAGUAACCCAUACAUCAGGAGGUGGAGCAGCCUGCACAUGUGGCGGUGGAGCAGAUCAUAUAUCAGGAGGUGGAGUAGCUCAUAGAUGGGGUAUAGGGGAGGACCGUAUGACUUGUCUCCUCACAUAGCAUGAAGACCUCAUUUUUCGAACUGUGGUAGAUAUUGAUGGAGUACUUGAAAGGUGAUCCUAUGUUUACCGGUAAGUAACUUGGAGAAUGUGUGACACUUAUGUAGGUAUUUUUAUAAUAAUGUUAGAGACAACAUAUUAUUUUUGUUUUGAUAUUUAUUAUUAUAAUAAUUUAUCAUGGUUUCAAUUUAUUAUUAUAGUUUUGAUUUAUUAUUAUUUCUAUUUUUUUAUUUUGUAACACUGUUGGAUUCUUGAUUAUUUUUUUACUCUUUGUAAUCGACCACAAAUCUGGAUUUUCUGAGAUGAGCCAGGAAGAGGUGUUGCUCGAGCUAUGUGAUGGAAUUAUAAACAGGAGACUCUCAAAGUUCAUAAGAUACAUAGGGUGAUAGAUGACAUGCCUGACACCUAUAAAUGUCAUAUGGCAUCCAUUUGAGUAUUAAUGUCAGGUAAUCCCACUUGAUAAUAUGUCUUUACGGUGGUUGUCGUCUUUGAUGGUGCAACAAAGUAGUUUCUUACUGAGAGGUGCCUCCGACAUGUUGGAUACAUAAAUAUAUACCACCACCACCUUCAUAUGGCCAUACCUUUGAUGUAGAUACCGAGCAAAUUGAUUACUAUUUUAGUGUGCAUUGAGUCAUUGGAAGAGUACUUUUGAUGACAUAUCCAUUUGAGGCCACCUGGACAUACAUGGAGUGGUACUACAAAGUAUCAUAUCCUUGUUUGAUAUGCCUUGCUGAGGUAUGUAUAGACUAGUCUCUAUUCCAACGUAUAAAGUCCCAACUGAUGCAUGGUCUUCUUAUUUGAGAUCCUUUUGAUUGCUUUAGAGCUACAAGGUUACUUAGACGAGUUUGGGGAGAUGCCAAAGGAACCCAUGUUUAGGGGUUUGUGUGAGCAUUAGACUUACUCAUUGUGGACAUUUAGAUUAGUUAUCUUAUCUUAUUUAUCUUAAAGCUCAAUACAAAUGCCUAAACACGAGUUCUUUUGCAUUCCCGUGAACUCUUCUAUGUGACCAUGUAGCUUGGAAGAAAUUGAAGACAAUCUCGAAUUAAAAGGUCUACGUCAUUGGAGACUUUGUACGCUAUAACAGAGACUAGUCUAUUGGAUCCUCAGUAGGGCAUAUCAAACCAGGUUGUGAUGCUUUGUCAUAUCAAUCUAUCUAUGUUUUUUGUGACCUUAAAUUAAUAUGUCACCAGAAGUGAUCCUUCAACGAAUCGAUGCACACUAGAAUGGUAAUCAAUCCACUUGACAUCUACAUCAAAGGUAUGAAAAUCUAAAGGUGGUGGUGGUAUAUAUCUUCUAUGUCCAAACUGUCGAAGGCAACUCUCAGGCAAGUAAGGAACUACUAUGUCGCACCACCAAAGACAACCAACGUAAAUACAUGUAUCAUCAAAUGAGAUUAUCUGACAAUGACUCUCAAAUGAAUGUCAUAUGACAUCUAUGAGUUUCUAAACAUCUAUCAACCUCUGUAUCUAAUCAACCUUAAGAGCCCUCCGGUUAUACUUCCACCGCAUAGCUGGAGCAAAACCUCUUUAUGGCUCAUCACAUGAAAUCUAGAUUUUUGCUUGAUUAUGAAAAGUUAGAAAAUAUUUAUGAAUCCAACUGUGUUAUAUAAUAAAAGAAAAUAGAAAUAAUAAUAAAUGAAAACUAUAAUAAUAAGUUGAAACUAUAAAAAAAUUAUUAUAGUAAAAAUAAAUAAUUCAUCUAUAACAUAACUAUAAAAAUACCGGUAGAAGAAGAGUCACAUAUCCCCUGAGCUGCUUACAAAAGUAAAUAUAAAGCCAUAUCUCAGGUACUUGCACAAUGUAACUGAAGCAACGAUACCCCAAUUGGAGAAAUUCCUAAAAAACAGUACAAUAUAUAUUUUGCCUCUACAAGAGUAAGUAAAAUUCUUACCUGUAGAAACAGUACACCCAAAUAGCAACAACAUAUGUAUAACCUAGCAACACAGUCAAGCAUUCCAAUUUGAGGAUACCUAUCAAACAAAGUGUAUAACAAGUGCAAUAAUUCCAUCUUCAUUUACAAC